rnacentral:lncRNA from 1 species
GAUUAUCUCAAAAUCUAUUUUUAUAUCUAAUUAUAAAAUUAUAAAUUUUAAAAAUGAUUAAAAUCAAGUAGAUCUAUAAAUACAUGAAAAUCUUGAAAAUGGACGGUGUAGAUAAUAUGUCGUAAAAUGUACUAUUUUUUAGACUUAAAAUCUUUUUAUUUUUCAUGUUCGUAAAUCUUGAUAUGGAGAUGAUCGAUUAAAGAGUUUUUCAACAUUAAAACUACCUUUUUUUAUGAAUUUUCGAGGUACAUUCGUAGCUCUAUAUUAUAAGGUUGCAACCUUAUGUAAACUUUUUCCUUUCUUUAUACGUCGCCUAAGCAAUAUACCUUUCUGAACCGUCUAAGACUCAUUCCUUUUUCUUUACACCGUCUAU